UACACCCUUUUACUAUAUUCCCCAAGUUCUUUUAUACAAUUUUAUUACAAAAUUGAAAAAAAAGGAAAGAAAAUAUAAAAUACAUCAAAACUACAGCUAGAUCCAAACCGCCUACUGCAACCUUAGUGUCUAAUAACAUGUGAUUAACCAACUUCCGAAAUUCAGAUUUCCAAAGCCUUCUCUUUAUCCAAAGUGUUUCAAAGUUCCAAGGAAUCUCCAAAAUUCCCGGCAUUGCUUACACUCAGGAUACCAUUAGAAUUAGAAUAGUGCAGUGUGGAAUAGCCAGCCCUUAGGCAUCCAAGUUCAGAGGGAUCUCAAGGUCCCAAAGCAUGGCUUGCAAGAGAGGGGCAGAACUUAGAUCUAGGAGCAAGUGCAAAGUGAUUUGGGAACCAUAACAAAUGGUGGUCAUACCCAGCCAUAGGUGCAGACUGGCACACCCAUGACCAUUUGCUUGGUCAAACAAGUUAGGAGCAGACCCUUGAGGGUCAGACCUGAGUCUGAAUGAUGAUUAGAACACCACCAGACCCAAGUCAGCCUCAGCACAUAAAAUGAGAAAGGGAAGUGGGAAUUGACUGAGUUAAGGAGUUCAAAAGAACUCAAUUCAGGGCUAUAGAAAGUAUAGUGCUGCUAUGGCUAGAACUACAACUCACACACAAAGGGGUAAAAAGGGAAGGGAUUCACAUAAGCAUAUUACUGGCAGAAACAUAAGGAAAGAAAUCAUAAAAGACUAGAAAAUAAACAUAUGGUGAAGGAAAGCAUAACAUACCAAGAGGUGAACACAUAGUGAAGAGGGCAUUAUUUAACUAGAACAUACCAGUUGCAAAAUAAUAAAAUAGCAGAACAGCAGAGUAAGCAAACAGUAGAAAUCAGUAAGAGCAUACUCAAGUUUGCAGCAGAACACUUGAGAGUUCAAGAGAACUCAAGAAUUUCUUAGAAGGUAAAAUGAGAGUAGAAAACAGAGUGCUUCAAUACUAUCAGUAAGAAAAGCAAUUUUCUCGGGAGAGAGUUCAGUGCAGAAGAAUUGUAUUUUCGAAUGCAGAAAAUAGUUGUGUAAGCAUGUGUGGAAGUAUUGAAUUGGAAGAGUAAGCAUGUCUUUAGUGCAAAGGGCACCCUCUUUUAAUAGUGCAGAAGACAAGUGAGAAGAAGGUAAGAAAAUAAUUUUGAAAGUCACUCACAAAGAUUUCCCUUCAACCAAGGGAUUGAUUUCAAAAGAGAAUGAUAAAUAUGGAAAGGGGAUAAUUUGAAAACCUUUUCCAGAGUAUCAUAAUAGGGGUAAAUACACAGGGCAUUAUUUAAGGAAAUAGUUCAACAGCAUAUGGUUUGGACGAAAUAAGGAAAGACAAUCAAUUAACAGUCAGUAAAAUCAAGAAUUGAGUCUUAGAUCGAAUGAAUCCAACCAAGAAAGGUGAAGAGAACC
rnacentral:lncRNA from 1 species